AAGUCGUAACAAGGUUUCCGUAGGUGAACCUGCGGAAGGAUCAUUAAUGAAAUUUAUGACUGGGGUUGUCGCUGGCCUUUAAAAACGGCAUGUGCACGCCCCUUUCACUAAUCCACACACACCUGUGCACCUUCGCGGGGGCUCUCGGGGAACCGACGCAAGUCGUAAGUACCGGAGCUCGCGUCCCUUUACACACCCCUUUGUAUGUCUUAAGAAUGUCUACUCGAUGUAAUAAAACGCAUCUAAUACAACUUUCAACAACGGAUCUCUUGGCUCUC
rnacentral:misc_RNA from 1 species